UUAAUUAGGGUAUUCCACCAAACUCGUAAAUGCCUCAUAAAGUUCUUAAACACGUAAAAUUCUGUGCCUUAUAAAUGAGCUGUCAAAAUUUGUAUGAAAAGAAGUUUACGCGUUUCGUAUAAAACUAUGAGGCAAAUUCGCCGCGUAUUUGCUUCAUAAACUGAUAUUUUGUUUUAGUGUUGCCAUUAAAAUAAUUUACAUUUAAUGCUUCAAAAAAGUAAAGUUUUUAGUGCAGGCAACACUACUUUCAAAGAAAAAAAGAACGGUCAAACAUAUGAGCUUGUUGCAAAAUUUUGUUUAAUUUAAAUAAAUAAAAACCAUCUGAAACCUUUGUAGUGCAUCAGAAUUAGAAGAAAAGGUCAAAGCUAAGCGCUUCCGAGCAGCACCAACACAUCGUUGGAGCAGUGAGCAAACUAGAAGCCUUUGGAGGAAGUGCGCGGAAAAAAAAAGACCGUCCGGAGUCAUUUGAGAAGCCUAUUGCACAAAAAUUUUAUUCGAAAAUAUCUGAUAAGUGCCCUUUGCUCGCAAACAUUAAUUGGAAAGUGAUGAAGAGCAAAAUGCGCUAUUUAAAUGGAGUAUAUAUGGAGGCCGUGAAAUGGCGUAGUCAAACAGGAGCUGGAUUAAUUGAAAAUGGAGAAGAAGAAAGCGUCAAGGACUACAUUCAAAAUAUUUGUCCCUUCUUCGAAAUACUGAACGUGAACCCUACGGUUAUAAUUGAGAGUAGCAAUAUAGAUUUCCUCUAUGAAGACAGCGAGGAGGUUUUUUUAUUUGAUAAUGUUGAUGAUAUGUCAAAUAGUUACUCGAGUUCACGUAUAUCAGCCAGUACUCCUAUUCCGCCCGAUACUCCACAGCCAGACGUUCAUUUAUCACUGGAAUUGUCAUCGAACAAUGCAAGCAGCUUCAACGGCGACUCAGAGAUUGAGAAUUUAAAAAAAAGAAUGACAUCGAAACACAGCCUAAAGAAAAAGCAAAAUCCGAAUGCAAGCUCUGCCGGCGUAUUACAAGGAAUGCUUGAAGCAAAAUUGGACUUGGAGAAGCAAAAAUUUGACUGAAUGAAAGAAAAAGAAAAACAGGAAUUGGAGAUGAAAAAGCUAGAAAUUGAACGUGAUGAACGACUUGUUUCGGCGAAAAUGAAAUUAGAAAAUGAAAGAGAAGAAAAACUCAAAAUGUAUGAACUAGAGUUAAAAUAUAAAAAAGCAUAAGAACUUUUUAAUCCUCACGUAUAUUUUGUGUCUUUAAAGAUUACAUACAGUGGCGGACAUACUCUACAUACACCCCCUGUUUUCUUCGAUGUGAGAGUACAAAAACUUUUUAGAAAAAUGUGUUGAUACAGUUUUAUUCUAAUCUUCUUUCUAAUAACAACAAACUUAAAAAAUCCGUUAAUUAAUAUAAAACUACAAAUUUAUGGAAUAAAAACUCAAAUAUUGUGUUGACAAAAGUCUACAUACAGUACAAAAAUAUCUUAAUUCAGUGCGAAAAACUUUAUAAAAUGCUAGUUAUUAAGACGUUUUGGUAUUUAGUUGGGUCCCCAUUGGCAUCUAUAACUGCUUGAAGACGCCGUGGCAUUGAUUCUGCUAAAUUUGUCAACACUGCAGAUGUAAUGCUGUUCCAAGGUCCCAAUAUGCGCUCUUAGAGUAUGGCAGAGCUAGAAACUUGGUGCUUUCUAAUUCUACGCUCCAAAAUCUCCCAGACAUGUUCAAUAAUAUUCAUAUUUGGACUUUGAGGUGGUGUAUUUAAUUGCCUUGGAGUAUAAUAAAGCAAACAGUCCUUAACAAUUUGCGCCGCAUGCAUCGGAUCGUUAUCUUGUUGAAAUAUCCAACUGGAACCGAGCCCUAAAUUAUCCACCAAAGGCUUCAAAUUAUGUUCCAACAGAGACUUAUUCUUACAACCGUCCAUUUCACCUUCGAUAAAGUCCGAAUUUCUAACUCCAGAGGCCGCAACAGCUCCCCAAACCAUUACGCUGCCGCCACCGAGCUUCACAAUUUAUACUACGUUCUUCGGUUCAAGCGUGGCGAUAGUUUUCCUUCAAAUUUUUGCCCUUUCAUCACUACCAAAAAGGGUGAAUUUAGAAUCAUCUGUAAAUGAAACUUUUUUCCAAAAAUCCAUUUCCUUUUCUUUGCGUUUUUUGGUGAACUUUAAACGAAGUUUACGGGUUUUUCAGCAAUAAAAGGUUUCUUCCGUGGUGUUCUACUGUGGAAUCCGUUAUCGUUUAGAGUUUUUUUAUUGUUUUUGGUUGGAUACUCAUUUGUGAUGUACUUACUAUGCGUUCGGCUAUAUUUGGAGCAUUUACUUUUGGAUUUUGGUCUACUUCGUUGGGAAUCAGGCGUCCACUGCGCGGUUUAUUUUCGUUGGAACCAUUAUUUUUAAAGUUUUUUAGAAUUGUCUGUACUGUUGCUCGACUCAAGUUAAAAAUUUUAGAAAUUUCACCAUAUGAUUUUUUUCUUUUCUUUCUUUUAUCACCAAAUUUCUUACAUCAAUUGAUAUUUCAUUUCACGGAGCCAUUAUAGCUAUUGAAAUGUUUAAACCACAACUAAAUUCAAUAAAUAUCAAACCAUAAACAUAUUGAAAUAAAAGAAAAAGGCUAACGUUACCUUACUGUUAAUAUUGCAAUGUACAAAGUAGGAGAUUAGAACUGUAUGUAGACUUUUGUCAAAGCAAUUUUUGAGUUUUUCUUCCAUAAAUUUGUUGUUUUAUGUUAAAUAAUGAAUUUUUUUUAGUUAAUUGUUAUUAUAAUAAAUAUUAGAAUAAAACUGUAUCAAACAUUUUGUACUCUCAUAUCAAUGGAAAUAGGGAGUGUAUGUAGACUUUUGUCCGCCACUGUAUAUACAAAUAAAGAAGACCUUAACAGUUUCUAAUGCUUUAAAAUAUGAAAUCAAAUUAAAAGUUGUUAAUUUAAGGCAUUUUGGUUGCUGGCUUUCGCCGACAGCAAUAGCUUUUAACCAUAUUGUUUGGCUUUUCCAAAACAAAGUUUUCGAUAUCAAAUGUAUCACCAUUUUCUUGCUCAAUUAUAAUGUUAUGUAGAAUGGCGCAAACAAGAACCCACCGGCAAGCAAGCCUUACAUUUGCGUCAUCUUCAAUUUGGAUUUUUAUUUCUUUGAGGGAGUUAAACCUUUCCUUCAAAAUUUCAAAGCAAUUUUCAAUACGCACACGAUACUUGGAAUGGGUAUUGUUGAACUCAUUUCUUUGUUGCAAAGUGCAAUCGUUGGAAUUUGUUAUAAUGGGGUUAUAACCGUAUUCGUUAGUUUAUACGCACUAUCGGCUGCUAUCCAUUCAUCGCCGCUUAAAUGAUCCGAUGGUUUCAAUGCCAGUUCACAGUUAUUAUAGAUUCUGCUAUCGUGAACGCUACCUGGAUAUCCUAGAACCAUGUGACGGAUUCUCAGUUUAUACUCACAUACUGCUUGAACUUUUAGAGAAUAUACAUGCUUUCGCGAAAAAUAUGACUCGGGAUCGUCGCUAGGUUUUUCAGCUAAUUUGAUUUCUGUGCCAUCAACAUAUCCAAUACAAUGCGGCAAUUCAAAAAAAGUAUUUCUGACAAUACUUUGCCGCUCAUUAUCAUCAGGCCAAAACAAAAACCUUUGCUUUAUUUUUAAUAUUGCUUGAAAGACUCGCUCAGUAACUCUUUGAAUGGUUCCUCCAUCACCUAUCCCAAAAAAACUAGCAAUUUUUGCAACUGAUGCACCUUCUCCAUUACAACCGAGACGAUAUAAAACAAUGGCGAGUUGCAUAGCAACGGGAAAUUGUUUGUCGGAACUUGCUCCGUUAAAGAGAACAUCAUCUUCUAUCAGUUUUAGUACAAUUUCAAAAUUUGCCCGAUUCAUUCUAACAAAUUGUCGAAACCGGUUUUCGUCUAAAUUUGGCAAAAUAUCAUAGAAGAAUGCCCAUUCUUCAAGGAUUUCAUCUUCCACUUCUUCUUGAUUUCGUUCUGUAAAUAUAAAAGAAAUCAUUUAAAUGCGUGCAUUCUCUCAGAAAGUAAUUAAGCAAACCAUCACUUGAUCCAAAUACAAGUAACAUCGACAAAUUGUUGAGUGCAUUGUUAUCAAUAUUUUCACAUAGUUUUCUUUUUUCACUUUUUCGUGGCAUUUUCUAAGAUUUUAAUUCUUUUUAAGUAAUUUUUUAACUAAACGCACGCACUUAUACAGAAAUUUCUCUUCUAAAUUAACCCUGGAUUUGGUUUUUCAAAUGCAACACUGACAGAAAAGUCAAAAUACCUAUUUACGCGGCUUUUAUACGUAUGAAAAAAAGGAGCGUUCCAAAAAACUAAAGCGUAAAUUUUUGAACUUAUAAGUUUGUACAUUUACGAGUUUGGUGGAAUACCCUAAAUAUGAAAAGGAUUUUGCAGUAGUUUUUAAAUUAUGCAGUACACCGACUUUGAACACAUGAACUUAAAAUUUUUGAACAGAAAUAAAUCGUAUAUAAAACGUUCAUAAACAUGUUUUAAGAAUAUUUAUAAUGAAACUUAAUCAGUAGUUGAUUUUAAUCACUAAUUUACAACUCCAUGUAAAAAUGCCAUUUUAGCGUUUUACUUCCAGUUUUAAUAGGUUGGAGCUUGCGUUUCAAAUUUAAAAGCUAUGGAUUAAUUGGGAGUAUAUGCCUUAAAAUAAAAAUGAAUAAAUGGCUCGGUAAUCAGGUUACAUUAGCGGCCAAAGUUGUUAUCAGGUUAUCAGAUGCAUUUUAAAUUAUUCGAUACUACUGUUGAUGAAAAUGAAAAACGUAAAUUAUCUAGACAUGUAUAACCACAAUAUUCGAUUGAAAAUUGUUCAACUAUUAUUAUUCAGCGUAAUUUCAUGACCUCAACAUCACAACCAAAAUACGUUUUUUAAAAUGCUAUGUUUGGUCAGUGCUUCUCUAUGCGAUGGAAACGUGGACUCUAAAAAUUACAGAUAUGAACAAGCUAGAGUCCUUCGAGCUAUGGCUUAUUAGAAGAAUCCUAAAAAUCCCAUGGACAGAUAGAGUUACAACCAGUGAAGUAUUGAGAAGAGUGAACCGCAAUAGAGAGUUGUUAAAGACCAUAAAACAAAGAAAAGCAGCCUACCUAGGACAUAUUAUGAGGGCUCUAAGUAUGAGCUUCUACAAAUAAUUAUCCAAGGAAAAAUUGAAGGAAAACGGGGUAUUGGCCGUAAACAACUUUUGUGGCUUCGAAACAUUCGACAAUGAACAGGAAUCCAGAAACAACCUUAUAGAUGUGGCGAGAGAUAGAGAGAAAUAUGCUGCGAUAAUUAAAAAUCUGUGAUUUUUUUAUUUUUUUAAUAUACAAUAGAUAUAUUAAACAUGUAAACAUUACAUUAUUAUAUUACUAUUAAGCUUAUUAAUAUUGUACAUAUUAUUAAAUGUUAUAUGAUCACCAUCAUUCGAAUACGAAUUGGCAAUAAAGAAGAAGUAAUUUCAAUCCACCUCAAUUCUACAACGGUAAACGUUUGGUCAAAAAGAUUACGGGAAAUAUUAUUGUAGCAACAUUUUAACUGGACAAUUUAAUGGAGAAAUGUUCCUCUUGCCACGUUAGAAUGUACGUUACGAAUAGAGCUUGCAAAUGUUUAUAAUAAAAACUAUAAGUAUUUUUCUUAAAAAAUAAUAAUGAUCUACCCAAAGUGUAUUUAACAAAGUAAAAUAAGUAUACUUACGAUAUUUACUUUACGCUUAUUUGAUAUGUAUAUUGCGAUUGAUUUGUCAAAAAAUUCAAAUUUUUAAACUCGAAAGUAAACAAAUCACAAUCAAAAACAACAUAUUUUUAAAUAAUUAUAUUCUUCUACUUCCGAAUACUUGCUGCUUAUGCAAAACAAAGCACGAAAGCAACAUACCAAUGUUUUGUGCUCCAACUGGCAUAUCGCAACGAGAGGAAUGGGAAAAAGUAUGUGGCAUGCAAUUCAGUUUGUAAUCUAGAAAAACAGCGUAGACGGGUUAAUAUAAACAAAUACAUAAAUUGUUUACUAUUUUAUUUAUGGAUCUACCCUUUUUCAGUAUCUUAAAUGUUUUGAACUAACUAUCUACAAAUUACUCAUGAAUCAUUUUUAAAAUUUGAAUGUAAAGUUAAAAAUUUAACCCUAUACACCGGAAAUAACGUUUAUUAAACUUUUUUAUAGUUCGCUCUUCAUGGUGCGAAAUUUAAAAAGCAAAUGCAUUUGUAUAUAUCUGGACACAAUUUUUUUAAAUUAUUUACAAAACAUACUAGUACUUUUUUAACUUCUGACUUCUCUUUGUAAAGGUUUUGCAAAGUCUUUUUAAGCUUAAAAGGUAUUUAAUAGUUCUCCGUAAUAGGGAUCAGCUACCAUACCCACAAUUUAAUGGUUUAAUUAUAAAAUUGCGGGGUUUUAGCACAUCAAAGUCAUAGAUGCCGACAAUUCUUCGUAAGAUGGCAGAGUGGCAAAGAUUCAAAGUUACGCUCACCAAUAUUUAUUUAUAAAUUAUAUUGAAGUAAUUACUUGCACACUACCUAGGUGACAAAAUUUGGUAAGUACCCAACUGCGGUACUACAAGUUUCUUUUAAAUUUUUUAAGAGUUUAUUAAGGUUCAAUUGAUAUUUCAUCUCUCUCUUACGCAAAGGACUAAUGAUUUUCAUGUUGUGUUAUUUACGUGAUAAUUUUUUUAAUGUAUUGGAGUUUCGGGAGCUGUUUUUUGCGCUUUGUCGUCUCGACACAUUGGUAUUUACAUGGCCGUUUCAUGUGGCAUUCUUGGCUGCGAAUGCACUACAUUUAUAUACAAAUAUUAACUUAUACAUACAUAUAUAAGUAGAUAUGUAAAUAUUAUAUUUAAAAUGAGACGAGUUCAAGGUUUUACUAGAGCCUACUUUGCCCUUUAGAAGGCUGGUAGAUAUUAUCUUUUUGAGCGGUUUUGAUUGUACCAAGACAUGAGCUGAUAGAGUCCUCUCCUUCUUGAUUUAUCAUAGCAAUUAGAUCUUUGUGAAUAUUUUUGUUACAAUUGUUGUACCGAGUUGACCGAAUAAAAAUCCGGGACCGUUUCGUUUAAUUAAACCCGGCUGUCGGGGGAGCCGGUUACACAGUUCGUACCUCAUAGUUAAACACCAUACAUCCAAAUCGGCUUUAUUACCUCGUUUUAUAAUAAUUUCAACACAUUAUUACCAGUUGGAUGGUCUACUGUAUACGAGGUAAAUAUGUAUGUAGAGUUGGGCACACUCCCCUGAGGUAUACCAGCCCUUAUCGAUCGUUCAUCGAAUACGAAAUUAGCUACUUUAGCAGUAAGUUUUCUAUAAAAAAUCCUAUGUACUCGAAAUCUAUUUAUUUGCUCUACAGUGUGAAGUAAAAAGUCAAAAAAAUAAGGAGAACAAUAUUAGAGCAUUAUUUGGUAGCUUUAUUGACAUUUUAGAAUGAUUUGAUCGUGUCUUUAUGACUUUUUUGGAUUAAUUUCUUUUAUAAUAUUUUUAAUUUAAAAAAUUUAAGUCUUAAUAGACAAGAGCGACUUGGUAGCAGUGCCGGGCAAAGUUUGCAGGGUAAGGUGUUUUUUGGACAAUUAGGUCGAAACUCCUUCUCCAAGUGGUUUGCAAAGCAAGUUGCCUUUUCCUCAUCACUUCGGGCCCUAUUACUAAUCACGCCUCUUAUGGGCGGUUGGUUGGAAUCUACCGGUGACUUAAUUUUUUUUCUCUAGAAUUUUUGCUUGUUGAUUAAUAACACUGGUAAACAAUAAUCCACUUGUUUUUUGUGACAUGAACAGAACAAAGUGUUUAUUAUUUCUUCUAUCACUUAUAGUAUUUUUGCUACGAGGAUUUUGUUAAAAAAAACGAUAGAUAUAUUAUUGUUAUAUGAAUUUAUUAACCAAAAAGUACCUUAUUUUGUUUCUGGAGUAUUCCUUAACAAUGUCCCGCAGUAAUCGGCAAACAAACUGACUCUCCACUUCACUUGGUACCAUUGCCAAGGUGGAACCGUUCCCUAUGUACGAGAACCCUCUUCCAUUUCUGUCCAUUGUCUUAACAAAAUUCUUCAUUAAACCCAAUUUAAUACCUUUUUGGGAUCAACUGUACUGCUUCUGUACAUAAUGACAGUCUCUCACACAGCUGUCAAAUUCACAAAGGAAGCAACAAUAUUUCGUAUAUUCUAGUUGCAUUCCAAGAAGAAGGACUAUUACUUUUAGGUCUCCACAUAUUGUCCAACCAUAACGGAUGUGCUCUAAAAUGGCACAGAUGAAUAUUUGUUACCGUUAUGAACCAAUACCGCCUUUAA